UGAGUACGAGCUGCUACGGCAGCGAAGUGGGUGAUGUCAUGCUUCCAAGAAAAGCCCUAUACCCGUUAAGGCAUGAUGGCCUGUACCCGAAACCGACACAGGUGGGGUGGUAGAGAAUACCGAGGGGCGCGAGGUAACUCUCUCUAAGGAACUCGGCAAAAUGGCCCCGUAACUUCGGGAGAAGGGGUGCCACCGCAAGGUGGUCGCAGUGAAGAGGCCCAGGCGACUGUUUACCAAAAACACAGGUCUCCGCUAAGUCGCAAGACGAUGUAUGGGGGCUGACGCCUGCCCAGUGCCGGAAGGUUAAGGAAGCUGGUCAGCGUAAGCGAAGCUAGCGACUGAAGCCCCGGUGAACGGCGGCCGUAACUAUAACGGUCCUAAGGUAGCGAAAUUCCUUGUCGGGUAAGUUCCGACCCGCACGAAAGGCGUAACGAUCUGGGCGCUGUCUCGGAGAGAGGCUCGGCGAAAUAGAAUUGUCUGUGAAGAUGCGGACUACGUGCACCCGGACAGAAAGACCCUAUGAAGCUUUACUGUAGCUUGGUAUUGUGCUCGGGCUCGGAAUGCGCAGGAUAGGUGGGAGGCUAUUAACCAUUGCUUGUGGGUGAUGGUGAGCCACUGGUGAGAUACCACUCUUUCCGAGCUAGAGUUCUAACAGCCACCCGUUAUCCGGGGGCUGGACAGUAUCAGGUGGGCAGUUUGACUGGGGCGGUCGCCUCCUAAAAGGUAACGGAGGCGCGCAAAGGUUUGCUCAGGCUGGUUGGAAAUCAGCCGACGAGUGUAAAAGCAGAAGCAAGCUUGACUGUGAGACCUACAAGUCGAACAGGGAGGAAACUCGGCUUUAGUGAUCCGACGGUUCUGCGUGGAAGGGCCGUCGCUCAACGGAUAAAAGUUACUCUAAGGAUAACAGGCUGAUCUCCCCCAAGAGUUCACAUCGACGGGGAGGUUUGGCACCUCGAUGUCGGCUCAUCGCAACCUGGGGCUGAAGUCGGUCCCAAGGGUUGGGCUGUUCGCCCAUUAAAGCGGUACGCGAGCUGGGUUCAGAACGUCGUGAGACAGUUCGGUCCAUAUCCGGUGCAUGCGCAGGAAUAUUGAGAGGAUUUCUCCCUAGUACGAGAGGACCGGGAGGAACGCACCUCUGGUGUACCAGUUAUCGUGCCAACGGUAAACGCUGGGUAGCCAUGUGCGGAGAGGAUAACCGCUGAAAGCAUCUAAGUGGGAAGCCCACCUCAAGAUGAGUAUUCCCAUGGGGUAACCCAGUAAGGUCACGGGAAGAACACCCGUUGAUAGGCUCUACGUGGAAGCGCAGUAAUGUGUGAAGCGGAGGAGUACUAAUAGACCGAGGGCUUGACU
rnacentral:rRNA from 1 species